rnacentral:snRNA from 1 species
GGAUGUGAGGGCGAUCUGGCUGCGACAUCUGUCUCCUCACUGAUCGCCUGGGCUGAUUUUGCUGAUCUGGCUGGCUGGGCAGGUGACCCUUCCUCCUUCAGCACUCCAGGUGUGUCCCUGCUGAGGCUGUGCUCGCGGCUGAAGAGGACGAAGAGGACGGCCUGCCCUGAGUAGAGCAGGACCAGACCUCUGUCAAGGAUACGGAGUAGCUGCACGCCCGCUGGAGCCUCCAAGCAAGCUGUCACACGACCGUGUUCCUCAUGUGUUACUAUCGAUGUGACUGACAUGUUCAGUGUUAUAUUC